rnacentral:rRNA from 1 species
UAGUCCACGCCGUAAACGAUGAUUACUCGUUGUUGGCAAUACAUAGUAUGCGGCUGAGCGAAAGCAUUAAGUGAUCCACCUGGGGAGUACGAUCGCAAGGUUGAAACUCAAAGGAAUUGACGGGGGCCCGCACAAGCGGAGGAACAUGUGGUUUAAUUCGAUGAUACGCGAGGAACCUUACCUGGGCUUAAAUGUAGAUUGCAUAAUUUAGAAAUAGAUUUUCCCUUCGGGGCUAUUUACAAGGUGCUGCAUGGUUGUCGUCAGCUCGUGCCGUGAGGUGUCGGGUUAAGUCCCAUAACGAGCGCAACCCCUAUCGUUAGUUGCUAGCAGGUAAUGCUGAGGACUCUAGCGAGACUGCCACCGUAAGGUGAGAGGAAGGUGGGGAUGACGUCAAAUCAGCACGGCCCUUAUGUCCAGGGCUACACACGUGUUACAAUGGCAGGUACAAAGGGCAGCUACACAGCGAUGUGAUGACUAAUCUACUAAACGCCUCGUCCCUA